AAUAGAAUAAAAUAGAACAGAAUAGAACAGAACAGAAUAAGAACAGAACAGAACAGAAUAGAACAGAACAGAAUAAGAACAGAACAGAACAGAAUAGAAUAAAAUAGAACAGAAUAAGAACAGAACAGAAUGGAAUAGAAUAGAACAGAAUAGAACAGAACAGAAUAGAACAGAAUAAGAACAGAACAGAAUAGAACAGAAACAGAAUAGAACAGAACAGAACAGAAUAGAACAGAAUAAGAACAGAACAGAACAGAAUAGUACAGAAUAGAAAAGAACAGAACAGAACAAAACUGAACAGGAUA
rnacentral:misc_RNA from 1 species